rnacentral:rRNA from 1 species
GAUGAACGCUGACAGAAUGCUUAACACAUGCAAGUCAACUUGAAUUUGGGUUUUUAACUUAGGUUUGGGUGGCGGACGGGUGAGUAACGCGUAAAGAACUUGCCUCACAGCUAGGGACAACAUUUGGAAACGAAUGCUAAUACCUAAUAUUAUGAUAAUAGGGCAUCCUAUAAUUAUGAAAGCUAUAAGCGCUGUGAGAGAGCUUUGCGUCCCAUUAGCUAGUUGGAGAGGUAACGGCUCACCAAGGCGAUGAUGGGUAGCCGGCCUGAGAGGGUGAUCGGCAAAAAGGGGACUGAGACACGGCCCUUACUCCUACGGGAGGCAGCAGUGGGGAAUAUUGGACAAUGGACCGAGAGUCUGAUCCAGCAAUUCUGUGUGCACGAUGAAGUUUUUCGGAAUGUAAAGUGCUUUCAGUUGGGAAGAAACAAAUGACGGUACCAACAGAAGAAGUGACGGCUAAAUACGUG